rnacentral:rRNA from 1 species
AUUGAACGCUGGCGGCAUGCCUUACACAUGCAAGUCGAACGGCAGCACGGGGCAACCUGGUGGCGAGUGGCGAACGGGUGAGUAAUGCAUCGGAACGUACCUUUCAGUGGGGGAUAACGUAGCGAAAGUUACGCUAAUACCGCAUAUUCUGUGAGCAGGAAAGCAGGGGACCGCAAGACCUUGCGCUGAUUGAGCGGCCGAUGUCAGAUUAGCCAGUUGGUGAGGUAAAGGCUCACCAAGGCGACGCUCUUUAGCGGGUCUGAGAGGAUGAUCCGCCACACUGGAACUGAGACACGGUCCAGACUCCUACGGGAGGCAGCAGUGGGGAAUUUUGGACAAUGGGGGCAACCCUGAUCCAGCCAUGCCGCGUGAGUGAAGAAGGCCUUCGGGUUGUAAAGCUCUUUCGGCCGGGAAGAAAUCGCACGGGCUAAUACCCUGUGUGGAUGACGGUACCGGAAUAAGAAGCACCGGCUAACUACGUGCCAGCAGCCGCCGUAACAC